GUCUCUUUGGUAUUUCGUUUAUAAAGAGUCUGGCCUGCCCAGUGAUUAAUUUAACGGCCGCAGUAUCUUGACUGUGCGAAGGUAGCAUAAUCACUUGCUUUAUAAUUGAAGGCUAGUAUGAAAGGUUGGACGAAAAUAAUACUGUCUCAGAUAAAUUUUUUAGAAUUUAACAUUUAAGUGAAAAGGCUUAAAUUGGAUUAAUAGACAAGAAGACCCUAUCGAGCUUUAAAAGAGGAAUAAAUUGAAAUAAAUAAUGGAUAUAUUGUUUAAUUGUUAGUAUUUUUUGGUUGGGGUGACUAAGGAACAAAUUGAGCUUCCUUUAAAUUUUAUAAAACUUUGGUUGUUGAUCCAAUAUAAUAUUGAUUAAAGAUUUAGUUACCGUAGGGAUAACAGCACGAUCUUUCUUCAGAGCUCGAAUCGAAAGAGAGGAUUGUGACCUCGAUGUUGGAUUAAAAUUUCCUAAAGGUGCAGAAGCUUUAUAAUAAGGGUUGGUCUGUUCGACCAUUAAAAUUUU
rnacentral:rRNA from 1 species